rnacentral:rRNA from 1 species
GACGAACCGUACGAACGUUAUUCGGAAUUACUGGGCUUAAAGGGUGCGUAGGCGGCGCAGUAAGUUGGGUGUGAAAUCCCUCGGCUUAACCGAGGAAUUGCGCCCAAAACUACUGUGCUCGAGGGAGAUAGAGGUGAGCGGAACUUAGGGUGGAGCGGUGAAAUGCGUUGAUAUCCUAAGGAACACCGGUGGCGAAAGCGGCUCACUGGAUCUCUUCUGACGCUGAGGCACGAAAGCGUGGGGAGCAAACAGG